UAGGAAAUCCUGGAUUUAGUAGUAACACAAAUGGAGUUGGUGGUUCCAUUCCUGGGAUUCUUCCAACCUCUGCUGGAAUUGGCAACCGGAGUGCUGUGCCAGGAUUGGGAGUAUCCCCAAUCUUGGGAAAUGCAGGACCUCGGAUUACAAGUUCUAUGGGAAACAUGGUUGGUGGGGGCAACAUUGGGAGGAGCAUAAGCUCAGGUGGAGGAUUAUCUGUUCCUGGUCUUGCAUCUCGGCUAAAUCUAACUGCUAAUAGUGGAUCUGGAAGUUUAAGCUUGCAAGGACAGAAUAGAUUAAUGAGUGGUGUGCUUCCACAAGGAUCUCCACAGGUA
rnacentral:misc_RNA from 1 species